rnacentral:lncRNA from 1 species
ACUCCCCAACACAAUUAGGAAAGUAGUCAUGCGUAGUCUAAGAGUUUUACAAAGUUUGGAAGCCACUUGCCUUAAAACGAACUCCAAAAGUUACUUGACUUGAGCCUUUCCUUUCCGAGUAGAAUCCGGAUCACGAUAAUCUAUUCAAACAAUUAUUCACAAUCACAAUUCGAGUCCAAUGACACCAAAAUCAAGAAAUUUAGGGAAAAAGGGCAAAACGGUCCAAAAGUCUCAUACCGGAAAACGAUACCCAAAUCUGGA